rnacentral:rRNA from 1 species
CAGUAGUCACGAGUUUGAUCAUGGCUCAGGAUGAACGCUAGCGGCAGGCUUAACACAUGCAAGUCGAACGAGACCUUCGGGUCUAGUGGGCGCACGGGUGCGUAACACGUGGGAAUUUGCCUCGGGGUAUGGAAUAACUCAGGGAAACUUGAGCUAAUACCAUAUAAUGUCUUCGGACCAAAGAUUUAUCGCCCUGAGAUAAGCCCGCGUAGGAUUAGCUAGUUGGUGGGGUAAAGGCUCACCAAGGCGACGAUCCUUAGCUGGUCUGAGAGGAUGAUCAGCCACACUGGGACUGAGACACGGCCCAGACUCCUACGGGAGGCAGCAGUGGGGGAAUAUUGGACAAUGGGCGAAAGCCUGAUCCAGCAAUGCCGCGUGAGUGAUGAAGGCCUUCGGGUUGUAAAGCUCUUUUACUCGGGACGAUAAUGACGGUACCGAGAGAAUAAGCCCCGGCUAACUCCGUG